rnacentral:sRNA from 4 species
AUAUCUCUCUGUACGGGAAGGAUGAGAAGCUUCUACCAGGGUUCGAUUCGAGCGCAGCGAGAAAGCGUUGCCGCAGGCAACGACCCGAAGGGCGAAGCGCGCAGCGCUGAGUCAUCCU